rnacentral:rRNA from 1 species
CACGUAGGGGGCGAGCGUUGUCCGGAUUUAUUGGGCGUAAAGAGCUCGUAGGCGGCUCAGUAAGUCGGGUGUGAAACCUCCAGGCUCAACCUGGAGACGCCACCUGAUACUGCUGUGGCUGGAGUCGGUAGGGGAGCGUGGAAUUCCUGGUGUAGCGGUGAAAUGCGCAGAUAUCAGGAGGAACACCAGCGGCGAAGGCGGCGCUCUGGGCCGGUACUGACGCUGAGGAGCGAAAGCGUGGGUAGCAAACAGG